CACACAUGCCAACUUUUGGGCAAGUCAAGAUAAGGGAACAGCUACAUUGUUUUUCGCAGAAUUUAGUAAUGAUGAAGAUAGUAACUAUGAACCCAUUUGCUACCCUGUGUCUGGUCUAUCAACACAAGAAGUCCGCUGCUGUUACUGUGAGUAUCAAGGAGUCCGGAUUGUACAUCCAGUCGAGAAGUGUUGGGAGGGGGCAAGUGGCUUCGAGAGAAUUGCAUGUGGAGAACACAAUUUUACAAACGCAGAUUUUGUGAGUCGUGCGAAGCUGAUAGAUAACCAGGUGAUGGGAAUAUUUGUACAAGACUACAUCUACCUAGAUCCUCCUUAUGAUGCCAAGUUAAUCCAAGCUGUCAACCGUGCUGAGUCAGUGAUGAAUCUUGAUUUGGAUGCUGAGAUGCGAAGGAGAAAAUCAGUACAUGCUGCUGGUCAUUAUCCACAACAAGCUUCAUUUCUGACCUAAUUUCGCAACAGGCAUGUUCAUUUUUCCUUGCAAAUUUUUUAUUUGGAUGUUAAUUGAAUGCAUUCAUUUAUUUUAUAGGGAGUGUUUCAGCAAGCUUUCAGUGAGCAUGUAAUCCCAAGUCUUGGGACAAAUCGUAGGACAAAGAAACUUAAUCUGUAAUGAUAAAUAGUAUUUCUCUCUCA